rnacentral:rRNA from 1 species
CCCUUAGAUGUCCUGGGCCGCACGCGCGCUACACUGAGUGUCUGAGAUACGAGUCUGCCUGGUCCGGCAAGGUCUAGGUAAUCGCUAAAAGACACAUCAUGCUUGGGAUAGAUUAUUGCAAAUAUUAAUCUUCAACGAGGAAUGCCUAGUAAGCGCAAGUCAUCAGCUUGCGUUGAUUACGUCCCUGCCCUUUGUACACACCGCCCGUCGCUCCUACCGAUUGAAUGGUCCGGUGAAGCGUUUGGACUAUGGUUUUCUGAUGGUCCGCCGUUGGAUUACCGUGGGAAGUUCGUUAAACCUUAUCAUUUAGAGGAAGGAGAAGUCGUAACA